AAUUUUAUUCUCAAAAAUGGACAGUUAGAUGGACGGACAGACAGAGAGAUAGAUACAGUGGGUACGGAAAGUAUUCAAACCCCCUUAAAUUUUUCACUCUGUUAUAUUGCAGCCAUUUACUAAAAUCAUUUAAGUUAAUUUUUUUUCCAUUCCUCCUUGCAGAUCCUCUCCAGUUCUGUCAGGUUGGAUGGUAAACGUUGGUGGACAGCCAUUUUCAGGUCUCUCCAGAGAUGCUCAAUUGGGUUUAAGUCAGGGCUCUGGCUGGGCCAUUCAAGAACAGUCACGCAGUUGUUGUGAAGCCACUCCUUCGUUAUUUUAGCUGUGUGCUUAGGGUCAUUGUCUUGUUGGAAGGUGAACCUUCGUCCCAGUCUGAGGUACUGAGCACUCUGGAGAAGAGGUUUUCGUCCAGGAUAUCCCUGUACUUGGCCGCAUUCAUCUUUCCCUCGAUUGCAACCAGUCGUCCUGUCCCUGCAGCUGAAAAACACCCCCACAGCAUGAUAGAAUUAAGGCCAAAAAGUUCUGUCUUGGUCUCAUCAGACCAGAGAAUCUUAUUUCUCUGUUUUCUAGCAAACUCCAUGCGGGUUUUCAUGUGUCUUGCACUGAGGAGAGUCCCUCAGUCUGCCAUAAUGCCCCGACUGGUGGAGGGCUGCAGUGAUGGUUGACUUUCUACAACUUUCUCCAAUCUCACGACUGCAUCUCUGGAGCUCAGCCACAGUGAUCUUUGUGUUCUUCUUUACCUCUCUCACCAAGGCUCUUCUCCCCCGAUAGCUCAGUUUGGCCUGACGGCCAGCUCUAGGAAGGGUUCUGGUCGUCCCAAACGUCUUCCAUUUAAGGAUUAUGGAGGCCACUGUGCUCUUUGGAACUUUAAGUGCAGCAGAAAUUUUUUUGUAACCUUGGCCAGAUCUGUGCCUUGCCACAAUUCUGUCUCUGAGCUCUUCAGGCAGUUCCUUUGACCUCAUGAUUCUCAUUUGCUCUGACAUGCACUGUGAGCUGUAAGGUCUUAUAUAGACAGGUGUGUGGCUUUCCUAAUCAAGUCCAAUCAGUAUAAUCAAACACAGCUGGACUCAAAUGAAGGUGUAGAACCAUCUCAAGGAUGAUCAGAAGAAAUGGACAGCACCUGAGUUAAAUAUAUGAGUGUCACAGCAAAGAGUCUGAAUACUUAGGUCCAUGUGAUAUUUAAGUUUUUUAAGAUAGAUAGAUAGAUAGAUAGAUAGAUAGAUAGAUAGAUAGAUAGAUAGAUAGAUAGAUAGAUAGAUAGAUAGAUAUGGGCUUACACACAAGUGUGAUGAAUGUAACUUUUGUUUGCUCCAUAUUUGUGACUGAUAAAUGUGAUGAUCUUAAUUCUGAAUGUCAACUCUCUUUUGAUUAGCUGACUGUGCUGGGAGGUGUUUCUGCUAAAGGGCUUUGAUACAUGUAAGGGCCGGAAUUGUUUUCUUUUGUUUAGUUACAGUCUCCAUAUAUACAAGUGUGUGUGUGUGUGUGUGUGUGUGUGUGUGUGUGUGUAUGUGUGUGUGUGUGUUCUAUUCCAGUUAUGCGCUCUAUGCAAGCAGCUAACAAACUGCACAUAAUAAUGCACAUAUGUAUUCACAAGGUUGUGGUUUCCAGUCUUUCUUACCAGCUUUCAGUGUUGAGAGGACAAUUUACCUAACUUUACCUAACAAUAUCCC
ensembl:lncRNA